rfam:Tupaia chinensis contig97147, whole genome shotgun sequence.
UCCUGAUCAGGAAAUGUUCACAAGUCUUACGUCCUGUCUUUGGUGCCAGAGCCUAUACGGGCGGCCCCUCUGGGGCUGACUUAGGGAAAAGAGGAAAGCUUGUUUCAGAAGGAACUGUCGGAGGGAU